UAUCUUAGGUUUGUAUUCUCUCUCGUGAAGCUGAGUCUGUUAUUGUGAGGUAGUUUGAAAACUAGGUUGGCAUCCACUGGUGAAGGUUUUUGGAUCUCUCACUAAUUUAUUAUUUAUUCAUCAGGGAGUGUUGGUGAUUUUGGCCUCUCAUCUUUCUUUUAUUGGCAGUAAGGGGGCGUUUGACACCAGUGCAGGUGAAGAACUCUCCCCGCUGUGCUCCAUUUGGUGCCGUCCUUCACCUCGGCCACUGACCGGACGGUCAUCGUCCCGCACGGCUCCUCACGGACCGCCAACAAAUGCUGCCACAAAUGGAUCUAAUUGGCACCUCUGCAUGCCCCGUCCAGAGGAGGGCAGAGAUCAGAAAAUGGAUCAGCAUAUGAAUUUGGAGCCACGUGAGGAUCCCAUCCUGGCAGCGCGAGCUCGAGUUCGACAGGGAACAAUCACAUCUUUAUAUGGCUGAGAAACUUAAUCUGCAAGAGCGUCGAUACCAGAAACCCAUCAAGGCCAUGACAAAACCCCUAAUGAACUUGUCUGGGAAAAAUCAGGGCUGCAGUCUCAGCCGGAGAACGGCGAAGGGCCCGAUGGGAAGGGCCAGGGCCUCUUGUAAAGCGGCUUUAGCGUGUUUUGGAAGAGCAGGGUAAGGAAUAAUCUCCUCAGACUGACAGGAGCUUCUCCUUUUCUCCGUUCUUUCUCUUUCUCCUCAACUGUGGGAGUUCGUCUCCUCUCCGCAACCCCACAGGCUGGCAUUUUCCAAACCUGCUAUCAGUUUCAACAAGCAGAAAUAAAGUUUAAACCAUCUCAGGGCAUCCGUCUGUCUCGCUUACUGAUAUCCUGUACUGAGAGGAAGAGAGACGCUUGGGUUUUCCUAACCAGCUUACAUCGGAAGCACGAGCCGACGAAGGUGCGAUGGUUUUGGGUUUCGACUGCUAGCUCACCUGGAAGCGAGUCGCCUUGGUAAAUAAGCAGAUUUGUCAUCUCCGUGUUAAAUGGGAGCCCUGUGGUAAUCUGAAAAUGCCAGACUCGUUCGGAUUACAUCUCUCACGAGAUGAGAAUGAAAAGGAUGCGGGCAGGUAUCGUUAUAGACGCCACUUUCUAACCAUGAUAAUAGCUGUGACACAACAAAACGCGCUGAAGAGUUGCGAGGUGAGGCACAAAAGUAGGUCUCCGAGUUGAACCGAGUUCCUGCGUCUCAAACAGCAUCUAUUAACUCUCUGCAUACAAAGUGAGAGGAGAGAUGCCUCGCUUUCAUAGCGUUUUGACACCCAUCAUAUAAAGCAGCUGGUUUUUCUUCAGGACA